rnacentral:rRNA from 1 species
UACGGGGGGUGCGAGCGUUGUCCGGAAUCACUGGGCGUAAAGGGCGCGUAGGUGGUUUGAUAAGGGUGUGGUGAAAGUCCGGAGCUCAACUCCGGAUCUGCCGUGCCGACUGUCAAACUCGAGGGCUGUAGAGGCAGACGGAAUUCCGGGUGUAGCGGUGGAAUGCGUAGAGAUCCGGAAGAACACCGGUGGCGAAGGCGGCCCGCUGGGCAGUGACUGACGCUGAGGCGCGACAGCGUGGGGAGCAAACAGG